AAAGGUCAUGGUACUGGCACUGCAGCUGUGGAAUAUGUGUUUAGCCCUGCUAGAAGGCAUGCUCCCUUCUUAAGGCUAAGUGCUCCAGGACUCAGCUUUUUGAUGACCAGACAGAUGCUUAUCACCUAACCUUGGACAGAAAUGGGUGGCCAGCUUAUGAAAUUUCACAUGAAGAUUAGAGACUUAAGAGGAUCUCAAGGCAAUAAGAAGUCCUUAUGGAGAAGGCACAAUUCUGGUUAUUUUUAACAUUUCUGCCCUGGUCUGAUUUUUCAUCACCAUUAGAACUACGUUAAGGAAAACUGUGAACCAAGGAAUACCUCCAUGCAGAGAGCCUCCAUAUGGUCAUGUGUACCAUCCAUUCCACACUGAUGGAUGCAGCAAGCUUCCUCAGAUGCACGUGAUCUUCUGUAGGAGUCCCAUGGAAUAAGUCUCUAUAAUCAAAGGGAUAAUACAUUUGAAUUAAAGUACUAAUUCAUGCCAGAACCUUUUAAACAAAAUGCAAGUCUUGCUAUCCAUCAUGAAAGAUAUUCAGCACUGGCAAUGUGUUGCAGAAAAAUAAUCAAACAUUAAAAUUUAAAGUCAAGUAGGUAUCAGUAUCCCACCUGUAUGUUAAAAAACCGUAUGAGAAUUCAGAGAAGUCACCGAUGAGCCCCAAGUUGAAGCUUCUAAUAGUAGUCAUGCCAUUCUGCAGAACAGAACGCUUAUCUGCUUUCUUUGUGCACUUUCUUCUUUAGAUACAGAAGUUUGAGCAAACCUUGUUGACUGCUAUUUCUGAUCAAAGUGAAAUUAAAUGUCCCGUGCAGAGACAUCCCUUCUCUUUUGCAUGUGGUCAAAUGAACCCAGAAAUCCCUAAGUAAAAACAGCUGUUUAAGUUUCACAUUAGGUCUGAGCCCCUUUUUAUCAGUUUCCAUCAUACAAGUUGAGCUUUCCUGUUGCUUCAACUCCUUGUUUUUAUUUGCCACAUUUCACCUAUAAUAUUUCACUCGCUGCAUUUGGAACAACACAAAUAUUUUACACUUCCCAUCAGCUUGUUUCACUAACCCUUACAGCACUGUAGUCAGUCUUCAAAGUGAUUGUACUAGUGCAGCCUCAGGCUGUACUCAUCUCCAUCAAAACAAACCAGAUGGGAAUCAGCUUGGCACCUUGGUUGUACCUAACCUUGUACCUUUGAGCACAAGAAAGGCUUAGGAAUCCUUACUGAGAUCUCCAUAACAAAACCAACUUUCUAAAAAAUAUUCCCACCUGUUCACUUCUGCUCGCUUAGGUUUUGAUCACAGCUCUACCAACAGUGGAUCUUACACAGACAAGGAUGGGACUGACAUUUCCAGCUCAUCUCAGAGUAAUGCAUCCACAUCUU